GACGAACGCUGGCGGCGUGCUUAACACAUGCAAGUCGAACGAAGCCUUCGGGCUUAGUAGCGCACGGGUGCGUAACGCGUGGGAAUCUGCCCUUGGGUUCGGAAUAACAGUGGGAAACUACUGCUAAUACCGAAUGAUGUCGCAAGACCAAAGAUUUAUCGCCCAGGGAUGAGCCCGCGUAGGAUUAGCUAGUUGGUGUGGUAAAAGCGCACCAAGGCGACGAUCCUUAGCNGGUCUGAGAGGAUGAUCAGCCACACUGGACUGAGACACGGCCCAGACUCCUACGGGAGGCAGCAGUGGGGAAUCUUGCGCAAUGGGCGAAAGCCUGACGCAGCGACGCCGCGUGAGGGAAGAAGGCCUU
rnacentral:rRNA from 1 species